rnacentral:rRNA from 1 species
GAUGAACGCUGGCGGCGUGCCUAAUACAUGCAAGUCGAGCGAACAGAUGAGGAGCUUGCUCCUCUGACGUUAGCGGCGGACGGGUGAGUAACACGUGGAUAACCUACCUAUAAUACUGGGAUAACUUCGGGAAACCGGAGCUAAUACUGGAUAAUAUAUUGAACCGCAUGGUUCAAUAGUGAAAGACGGUUUUGCUGUCUCUUAUAGAUGGAUCCGCGCCGCAUUAGCUAGUUGGUAAGGUAACGGCUUACCAAGGCGACGAUGCGUAGCCGACCUGAGAGGGUGAUCGGCCACACUGGAACUGAGACACGGUCCAGACUCCUACGGGAGGCAGCAGUAGGGAAUCUUCCGCAAUGGGCGAAAGCCUGACGGAGCAACGCCGCGUGAGUGAUGAAGGUCUUCGGAUCGUAAAACUCUGUUAUUAGGGAAGAACAAAUGUGUAAGUAACUAUGCACGUCUUGACGGUACCUAAUCAGAAAGCCACGGCUAACUACGUG